rnacentral:rRNA from 1 species
AGUAACGCGUGGUCAACCUUCCCUACAGUGGGGGAUAACUAGCCGAAAGGUUAGCUAAUACCGCAUGACAUCUUCGAGAGGCAUCUUUUGAAGAUAAAAGGAGCAAUCCGCUGAAGGACGGGACCGCGUCCCAUUAGCUAGUUGGUGGGGGUAAUGGCCUACCAAGGCAACGAUGGGUAGCUGGUUUGAGAGAGCGACCAGCCACACUGGGACUGAGACACGGCCCAG